rnacentral:rRNA from 1 species
GAUGAACGCUGGCGGCGUGCCUAAUACAUGCAAGUCGAGCGAACAGACGAGGAGCUUGCUCCUCUGACGUUAGCGGCGGACGGGUGAGUAACACGUGGAUAACCUACCUAUAAGACUUGGAUAACUUCGGGAAACCGGAGCUAAUACCGGAUAAUAUAUUGAACCGCAUGGUUCAAUAGUGAAAGACGGUUUUGCUGUCACUUAUAGAUGGAUCCGCGCCGAAUUAGCUAGUUGGUAAGGUAACGGCUUACCAAGGCAACGAUGCGUAGCCGACCUGAGAGGGUGCUCCGCCACACUGGAACUGAGACACGGUCCAGACUCCUACGAGAGGCAGCAGAAGGGAAUAUUCCGCAAUGGGCGCAAACAUGACGGAGCAACGCCGCGUGAGUGAUAAAGGUCUUAGGAUCGUAAAACUCUGUUAUUAGGGAAGAACAAAUGUGUAAGUAACUAUGCACGUCUUGACGGUACCUAAUCAGAAAGCCACGGCUAACUCCGUG